UCCUGGUUAACCCAGGCAGUCUCAUUAGAGUUCCCACCUUAAGUGUUGGCAACUAAUGAUAAGGGUUGCGCUCGUUGCUGGACUUAACCAAACACCUCACGGCACGAGCUGACGACAGCCAUGCAGCACCUAUAUAACAGCUCUUGCGAGAAAUAUCAUCUCUGAUAUCGUCCAUUACAUUUCGAGCCUGGGUAAGGUUCUUCGCGUUGCGUCGAAUUAAACCACAUGCUCCACCGCUUGUGCGGGCCCCCGUCAAUUCCUUUGAGUUUCAGCCUUGCGGCCGUACUCCCCAGGCGGGGUACUUACUGCGUUAGCGACGGCACCGAAGGGGUCGCUCCCCCCGACGCCUAGUACCCAUCGUUUACGGCGUGGACUAC
rnacentral:misc_RNA from 1 species